ensembl:lincRNA
CAUACGGAUACUGUACUUUUUCAUUCUCCAAAGUACGCUGGUUUGGAUAAUAACCUUUAUGACCACCUGGCUCACUUGGAAUAAGGAACAGUAGACCUUUGCUAUGCUUCCUUUCAUUUGGGGAAUAAACAAAUUGUCACUGCACCUUAUCCCCCCCAAAGGAAGUUUGGGGAUCUAGAAAAAAAUUGGGGAGAUAUUUUAUUUGCUCCCAGUGUUUCUUACAGAGACCAUCAAGAAUAAGGAAAAUGCUUCCAUCGCACCAUAAAGCCAGCAUUAUUUGGCAGAGAAUAGGGUCAAAAUUGUAAUAACAGAAAAAGUGUGGAUGCCUCAGAUGAGCACGGCCUCCGUGAUGUUUGGAAGGAAAGAGAAGCUCGCAACAGGAAGAUGUCUUUGUUAGCAGAUGGUGGCGUCUUGACAAGUGAAUUAUUUGGAGUGCAACAUCUCCCUCUGCUGGCAGAAAAGAGGGAGGGCGGUAGAAAGCUGCAGAGCCAUCCUGCCCCAAUCCUAGCCCACACCACGGAAAGCAGCGAGGACCCACGAGGACCGGAGCCGCUGGGGAGAGAGCAGGGCGAGCGCGGGGGACAGAAGAGGAGCGGCCGCGCACAUGGGCGGGAAGCGGCGCCGCUGAUCUUGCGCGUGCGGUCAGUCCUUCUGGAUUUGAAACCAGCCACAUGUGCACCAGGAAAGAUCCACAAGGGCCUCAGUGACUCUCUGAAGUGGGAGAAAGAAUAGGACAAAACACAGGCUCGCUUCUGCCCUUCUGACUCCAGCCCUCACUGAUUUCUUGAUUGUGCUUCAAACCUACGAGGUUAUACUAACUGUCAGUCAUCUGUCACACCUUGGAGCCCUGCAUCACACCUUGGGGCCCUGUGUCCUGAGGGCACAGUGUGUCCCUGGCCUUUAUCUGGUCUCUCCAUGUGUCACUUCUGCACCACUACCCAGGCCUGAGCCAGGCAAACACGGGGCAGUGGUGACCUGGAUAGGUACCUGGGGCCUGACCUUGAUAACCCGGCAGCUUAGUCCACAGGUGAAAAAGCCUGUUUCUCCUACACAGCGCAGGUGGCCUCACACCCUGUGGGUGCUCAGAUUCUCAUGCACCUGCCUGUGAGACACAGUGCUGCCUGUUCUGUACGGACUCAAGUCGGCUGGGAGGCGAGAGAGACCAACUGUGGUGGGAAGAUGCCUUUGGAGGGGUCACGGGCGCUUCGAAGAGCAGUCUUCUCUCUGUCGUCUGCACAGCAGAGUCCUCCAGACCCUUCCUCACAAGCAACGCUCUGACCCCGUGGAAGGUGCAGACUCUGUAGCACUGAUGUGUGAACCCGAGAACCUCUCCGAGGUGGAGAAACAGUCAGAGCCUCCCAGACGGAGACAGUCUAGAGCUGUCGAAGGACAACAUCUCAGUUUAUUCAGUGUCACAAAGAAUGACGCAGUAGCCAGUGAGUGUGGAACCCAGAGCCCGGCGAGUGCCAACAGAAGUGGCCAGUCACCCUGAAUGUUCUGUGGGAGCGACUUCUAUUCCUGUCCAGCUCUGGCUGCCUACACGAUAAAGGGCCAGAGUCAGGCCACUCAGCCCCUCUCAGAUCCACGUACACUAACCAUCACCCCGAGCAUGAGGCCAGGAUGUCCGCUCUGUGCACUUUGAGGCAGACCCAGCCUUGAGCCGUAAAUAGGAGGAAGGGGGCUGCUUAUGUCUGUAGAGGCUCACGGUCAACAAUCUGUGAUGUAGAAGCAGUGGGAUGUCUCAGAGCCAUGCUCAAUGAACAGACCGGGUGAGGUUGGAGUUUUACCAAAAAAGUCUCCAUCAUAGCUCAGAGGGAUUCUGUGAAUGACAAAGGAGCUUCUCCUUCCCUCUGGCAUCAGAUGGGGUUUUAUUGGCAUCAGAUGGGGUUUUAUUCUCUUUAACGCUCAUGUCCUAGACACACUGCAGGCUCCCCUCCGAGCCUGCAUUUCCAUCCAGGGACAAACCUCAGCCCCUCCUGUCACUCACCUUCUAGCCUGUCCCCACGAUGUGCUUGGCUAAUCAAGAAGGCCCCUGCCAUCCAUGCAAGAGCUCUUUAUCCCUAACAUCACUCAAACAAGAGGAGGGCCUGCACAUGCCCCAUCCAUAUCUCUGCCACUGGCUUCAGUAGGACUUCAGUUAAGACCUCACAGACUCAGGUAAGGACCCUGGAACAGCAGCGCCAUGCUUUCAGUGGGUAUGGUAGAGGGUCUUUGGUUUUCUGGAGAAAGCGGGAAAAUUAAUUCUGAACCUAUGUCCACAGACAGCAAAUCCUAGGCCUCCCUUAAGCUCCUGCACCAUCCUGAGACUCUCUCUGCCCCCUGCUUUUGUGAUUUCUCGGGGCCAAGCUGUGAAAUGUGGGGAUGAUGUUCUUUCAGCAGCAGAGAGCCCUACAUAGUAAGGUGGAAUGUCCUCGGGGUCAAAUAGCUUCUUUCUGUCAGUAAUUCAUAAAUACAUAUACAUGAAAUUGGGCUGAACCAGUGAUGUGGGAAAGCCACCUAUGCUGAGCUAUAUCCCUAACCAUAACUUGUAACGUGCCCCUUUCUGUCCCUUCUGUGUCUCUUUUUACCGCCUCCCUGAGCUUCAGAGAACAAAUGAAUCACACUCCUACUGCUUUUUCUCCAAAAAGGGAAGAGAAAACUCCCCUUGGGCCAAAGAUGAGCAGUUCAGAGCUCGUUCUGAUCUUCUCCCAGCUCACCUGGUGACUGACUUUGGGGGUGGCGGCGGCAGGAUGGAUAGGCAAGGUGCCUGAGAGACCUAACUUGAAUGUGACUAAAUCUUGCACUCACUGGACACCUGAGCCUCCCUAGGAUGCAGAGAGAUAGGAGAAUAAUCCUUGGGCAGAUGUUUCUGGACAGUUUUCUGGCUUGGAAUUACUAGCUGUAUGAGGCUGAGGACCCAGUACACAUGGAGAGUAGUGAGUGACACAUUCUGGAGACAGUGGAACCUUCACUGUGGAUUCCCCAUGGGGACAGGAAGGAAAGUGCCAACGGCAUGUAUCUGAGAAGCAGGAAGACCAGCCAUUUGUAAAUACUGUGAUACAGCUCUCUAAAGAUUCCUUUCACCAUAAUUUUCCUUCUACAGAUCAGGAAUUUCAUUUAGAGAAAUCCUUCCAUUAGAACCUCACCAAGUGUUAGUUAUGUUGAUUGAGUAGGGUCAUCUUCGCUCCCUGAGAAUGAUGUAACAAGAAGCACAUGCCUUUGCUACUCCGUGUGAAUCUGCCUGGCACCAAAGAUGGACGGGAAUGACAAUCCUCUCUUCCCCAACAUGCAUGAAUGCGCUGCCAGAUGGAGGGUCUCUGAGAGUUGUCUCAGGUUCUUGGCAUACUGAACAAAAAAUUGAGCAAUACACUCAAAAGAAGUAGCAAGAGUAGUAUUAGAGGCAAAGGUGCACUCCUCAUGGUGGGAGCAGGCCAGCGGGAGCAGUUCCCAGUGAGAAGAGCUCAACAGGGGCAGGCCCUGGGUCUCUUAAACCCUGGGACUACGGGGAGAUCCACAGUUAGGGUUCCUCCUGUCACUUUCCUGGUCGCAGAAACACAGUAACCCACACCCAGAACUUACAAGAGGAUAGCUUUAUUCUGAGUCACGCUCCAGUCCAUAUUGGCUGACUCCAAAGCAGGACCACAUGGCAGAGGGGCAUGGUGGAGAGCUGCUCAUGGCAUGGCAGACAUGGCGCACAGACAGAUCAAGAGAGGAUCGAGGGAGGGAGAUAAACAUUUCCAAGCCACAGCCUCAGUGACCCGCCUCUUCCAACCAGACCCCACCUAACGAAUAACAAGUCAACCGUAAGCCCCAUAAUACAGUCACCCUGAAAAGCCCUGCCUAUGAGGGCAUUAGGCUCUUGGGUGACAUCUAGAUAUAAACCAUAACAAGGACUAACAGAAGUAAUGGCCCAGUUGGGUACCUGACUUGGCUCAUUAGUCAGGAGUGGGGGUUUUUGGACAUACAAGGGUUUGGAGGAAGUGGCAUGGCGUCCAAAGCCCAUGAGGGUGGCAGCUCUAGACUACAAGGCAAAUGAAGGUGCACACAGGCAAGGGUCAUGUACCUUGGUCCAGCACGUGCGUGGGGGUCAUGGGGGACAGUGUGAUCCUUACCUCUUUGUUUUCUGAUAUUCUGACAAGGUCACGCAUGCUCUGUCCUGUUUCUCGAUUCUUGUUUGUUUGUUUACUUCUCCGUACUCAACCUCCUGCCUCAUCAUAUCUGUGAAGGACCUGACUCUCAUAAUUCAUUACGGUUGCUGAAGGUCAGUGGUCUCAGUUUUCCAGAGAUGCAUCCUGCUGAGUAUGGACGGAGCACCUAACUGAACUCUCUCUCCCUGACUGAUCUAAGGAGGAAGCCAAGACCGUGGGGUCGUUUAGGAGCUGUUGAUAUAUUCGAAAGGCCAGAAGCUCAUGGUGGAACAUUUCUUGAAGUCUCCAAGAGAGAAACUGUAGGGGUCUACUAAACAGACAGAAUAAUUAACAUAAGAACCAGCAAAAACAACCCCAUUAAUGAUCUU